GAGUUUGAUCCUGGCUCAGGACGAACGCUGGCGGCACGCCUAACACAUGCAAGUCGAACGGAGAUAUUUUGGUUUACUGAGAUAUCUUAGUGGCGGACGGGUGAGUAACACGUGAGCAACCUGCCUCUGAGAGAGGGAUAGCUUCUGGAAACGGAUGGUAAUACCUCAUAACAUAACGAAGCCGCAUGACUUUGUUAUCAAAGAUUUAUCACUCAGAGAUGGGCUCGCGUCUGAUUAGAUAGUUGGUGAGGUAACGGCUCACCAAGUCGACGAUCAGUAGCCGGACUGAGAGGUUGAACGGCCACAUUGGGACUGAGACACGGCCCAGACUCCUACGGGAGGCAGCAGUGGGGAAUAUUGCACAAUGGGGGAAACCCUGAUGCAGCGAUGCCGCGUGGAGGAAGAAGGUUUUCGGAUUGUAAACUCCUGUCUUAAAGGACGAUAAUGACGGUACUUUAGGAGGAAGCUCCGGCUAACUACGUGCCAGCAGCCGCGGUAAUACGUAGGGAGCGAGCGUUGUCCGGAAUUACUGGGUGUAAAGGGAGCGUAGGCGGGAUGGCAAGUCAGAUGUGAAAACUAUGGGCUCAACCCAUAGACUGCAUUUGAAACUGUUGUUCUUGAGUGAAGUAGAGGUAAGCGGAAUUCCUGGUGUAGCGGUGAAAWGCGUAGAUAUCAGGAGGAACWUCGGUGGCGAAAGCGGCUUACUGGGCUUUUACUGACGCURAGCUCGAAAGCGUGGGGAGCAAMCAGGAUUAGAUACCCUGAUAGUCCACGCUGUAAACRAUGAUUACUAGGUGUGGGGGGACUGACCCCUUYCGUGCCSAKUUAACWMAAUARUUAUCCACWCUGGGGAGU
rnacentral:rRNA from 1 species